rnacentral:rRNA from 1 species
GAUGAACGCUAGCGGCAGGCUUAACACAUGCAAGUCGAGGGGCAGCAUACCCGGUGACGGGUGAUGGCGACCGGCGGAAGGGUGAGUAACGCGUGAGCAACAUACCCGUAUCAGUGGGAUAAUACAGGGAAACUUGUUCUAAUAUCACAUAAUAUUAUUCAGAGGCAUCUUUGGAUAAUUAAAGUUCAGGCGGAUACGGAAUGGCUCGCGUGACAUUAGCUAGAUGGUAGGGUAAAGGCCUACCAUGGCUAUGAUGUCUAGGGGUUCUGAGAGGGAGGUCCCCCACACUGGGACUGAGACACGGCCCAGACUCCUACGGGAGGCAGCAGUGGGGAAUAUUGCGCAAUGGGGGAAACCCUGACGCAGCGACGCCGCGUGAGUGAUGAAGGCCUUAGGGUUGUAAAGCUCUUUUACCAGGGAUGAUAAUGACAGUACCUGGAGAAUAAGCUCCGGCUAACUCCGUGCCAGCAGCCGCGGUAAAACGUCUA